rnacentral:rRNA from 1 species
UACGUAGGGGCCUAGCGUUGUCCGGAUUUAUUGGGCGUAAAGAGCUCGUAGGCGGUUCGGCAAGUCGGAUGUGAAAUCUCCACGCUCAACGUGGAGGGGGCCAUUCGAAACUGCCGUGACUCGAGUCCGGUAGGGGAGUGGUGGAAUUCCCGGUGUAGCGGUGAAAAUGCGCAGAUAUCGAGAGGAACAUCGGUGGCGAAGGCGGCCUUCUGGACGGUGACUGACGCUGAGAUGCGAAAGCGUGGGGAGCAAACAGG